CGCCUGUUUAACAAAAACAUGUCCUAUUGUAUUCUUUAAUAGGUCUGGCCUGCCCAGUGAUAAUUUUAACGGCCGCGGUAUAUUGACCGUGCAAAGGUAGCAUAAUCAUUAGUCUUUUAAUAGAAGGCUGGAAUGAAAGGUUUAACGAGAAAUUAACUGUCUCAAUUACAUACUUGAAUUUAUCUUUUGAGUCAAAAGACUUAAAUAUAAUUGGUGGACGAGAAGACCCUAUAGAGCUUUACAAUUUUAUUUCUAUAUUUAUAUAGUAAUAUUAUUUAUUUAUAUUUAUAAAAUUGUUUUGUUGGGGUGACAAUAAAUAUGUAUUUAACUUUUAUCAUAAUAUAAACAUUAAUUUAUGAUUUUUGGAUCCAAAAAUUUUGAUCAAUAGAUUAAGUUACCUUAGGGAUAACAGCG
rnacentral:rRNA from 1 species